rnacentral:tRNA from 1 species
AGGAUAUUAGUUAAAUAUAACAUUUAAGUUGCAGUUAAAAAUUACUUUUUAAAAGUAUAUCUUA